rnacentral:rRNA from 1 species
UACAGAGGUGGCAAGCGUUGUUCGGAAUUACUGGGCGUAAAGGGCGCGUAGGCGGUUCGUUAAGUCCUGUGUGAAAUCCCCCCGGCUCAACUGGGGAACUGCACAGGAAACUAGCGGGCUUGAGUUCGGGAGAGGGAAGCGGAAUUCCCGGUGUAGAGGUGAAAUUCGUAGAUAUCGGGGAGGAACACCAGUGGCGAAGGCGGAGACCUGGGCCGAUACUGACGCUGAGGUGCGAAAGCGUGGGGAGCAAACAGG